rnacentral:lncRNA from 1 species
UGAAACAGUGUGGGUAACAGCCACAAUUUAUGUUGCAAUUUACCAAGGACCAUGGUAAAGCAGCAGUCACUCACUUCUCUUAAACGACUGAAAGCUCCAGAACGAGUCCUAGGAGCUCGUGACAACCCAGACCGCCCCCUCCUUGCUGAGUCCCUCCGAAUGUGAGCUGUGUGGGAGAGGGGACCUUUUCUCUGCUGGGUACUUUUGAGAAAGAGGAGAAGCAGAUUCCCCACGAAGGAGAAAAAAAGAGGGAUGGGCAUACUGCAGAGUAGCAGAGGAACCCCUGCUAUUACCAACAGCAGCUGAGAGAAAAUGAGGUUUUGUUCUUGGCGUGGGCUGGAAGAGGCUGGGAGCUAAGAGCAGGGUAGCUGUUUUCCGAGGUACCAUUCCUUCAGUGACUAUUGAAAAAGGACAUCAUGAAUGAAUAAGGUUAAAUCAAAGAAGGAUUGAUCUUAAUUCUUGCGUCUUCACCGAAAUGCAAAAGAAUUAAACCUGAACUUCUUGGCUUAUGCGUUUACUGUAUUUGCUCCAUAGCUUAAAGCAGUUGUGAAAAGUUUCUGCCUUUGUUUUCCAAUAUGCCUAUACUUUAUGCUUUUGAAUAAUCUCUUUAAACAGUGGUCCAGACCUCAAAGGUGAAGGCCGGCAGCACUGUUAGCCCCCCCUGACAGGCAAAGCAGAAGGAAAACCAGCCCCCUAUGGUCUUGUCACAGUCAUCUGGGCAUCAUACCCUGUCCAGGUGGAGCAUCAUGGCCUUCAGCUGGGGAGGUGGCAAGCUCAGAUUCCUCGGCACCUCUUGGUCCUGCUCAAGCCAUGUGCUCAGAAAACAAAUGAGCACCAGAAGAAACGGAGCACAAACCAAUGCCUGAAAAACUGAUAGAGAUGAAGUGCUGCUGAGUGGAUAAUGGUGUUUGCCUCUGAGCUACUGGGAGCCAAAUUAUCACUUGACCCAAAGUACCUGAAAAGAUCAUGCCA